AUCCAUCUGACGUGUCCUACAUAGGACGAAACACUCGUCCUAGAU
rnacentral:hammerhead_ribozyme from 1 species